rnacentral:rRNA from 1 species
GACGAACGCUGGCGGCGUGCCUAAUACAUGCAAGUAGAACGCUGAAGAGAGGAGCUUGCUCUUCUUGGAUGAGUUGCGAACGGGUGAGUAACGCGUAGGUAACCUGCCUUGUAGCGGGGGAUAACUAUUGGAAACGAUAGCUAAUACCGCAUAACAAUGGAUGACACAUGCCAUUUAUUUGAAAGGGGCAAUUGCUCCACUACAAGAUGGACCUGCGUUGUAUUAGCUAGUAGGUGAGGUAAUGGCUCACCUAGGCGACGAUACAUAGCCGACCUGAGAGGGUGAUCGGCCACACUGGGACUGAGACACGGCCCAGACUCCUACGGGAGGCAGCAGUAGGGAAUCUUCGGCAAUGGGGGCAACCCUGACCGAGCAACGCCGCGUGAGUGAAGAAGGUUUUCGGAUCGUAAAGCUCUGUUGUAAGUCAAGAACGGGUGUGAGAGUGGAAAGUUCACACUGUGACGGUAGCUUACCAGAAAGGGACGGCUAACUACGUG